rnacentral:rRNA from 1 species
CCUACGGGUGGCUGCAGUGGGGAAUAUUGGACAAUGGGGGCAACCCUGAUCCAGCCAUGCCGCGUGAGUGAUGAAGGCCCUAGGGUUGUAAAGCUCUUUUGUGCGGGAAGAUAAUGACGGUACCGCAAGAAUAAGCCCCGGCUAACUUCGUGCCAGCAGCCGCGGUAAUACGAAGGGGGCUAGCGUUGCUCGGAAUCACUGGGCGUAAAGGGUGCGUAGGCGGGUCUUUAAGUCAGGGGUGAAAUCCUGGAGCUCAACUCCAGAACUGCCUUUGAUACUGAAGAUCUUGAGUUCGGGAGAGGUGAGGGGAACUGCGAGUGUAGAGGUGAAAUUCGUAGAUAUUCGCAAGAACACCAGUGGCGAAGGCGGCUCACUGGCCCGAUACUGACGCUGAGGCACGAAAGCGUGGGGAGCAAACAGGAUUAGAUACCCUAGUAGUC